rnacentral:tRNA from 1 species
GAUCAGGUUUUUCUGUCGCAGAUGCUAUGCUGUAAACAUAGAGAGGGUCAUUAGACCACUUGUCA